rnacentral:rRNA from 1 species
AGUGAACGCUGGCGGUAGGCCUAACACAUGCAAGUCGAACGGCAGCACAGUAAGAGCUUGCUCUUACGGGUGGCGAGUGGCGGACGGGUGAGGAAUACAUCGGAAUCUACUUUUUCGUGGGGGAUAACAUAGGGAAACUUACGCUAAUACCGCAUACGACCUACGGGUGAAAGCAGGGGAUCUUCGGACCUUGCGCGAUUGAAUGAGCCGAUGUCGGAUUAGCUAGUUGGCGGGGUAAAGGCCCACCAAGGCGACGAUCCGUAGCUGGUCUGAGAGGAUGAACAGGCACACCGGGAACGAGGAAACGGUCCAGACCCUACGGGAGGCAGCAGUGGGGAAUAUUGGACAAUGGGCGCAAGCCUGAUCCAGCCAUACCGCGUGGGUGAAGAAGGCCUUCGGGUUGUAAAGCCCUUUUGUUGGGAAAGAAAAGCAGCAGGUUAAUACCCCGCUGUUCUGACGGUACCCAAAGAAUAAACACCGGCUAACUUCGU